UGUAACUCAGUAUGUAGCCGAGAUCUGCACUGCGCCAAAUCCUAGGCUGAUCCUUGCAACUGGGAGCAGCAAGCCCUUAGUGGAGACUCUCUAAAAGCUUUGUGGCAGAAGUGGGCACCAGCAAGCACUUGUAUUCCUAAGUCAGCUGUUGUCGGUGCCUGACAUCUUCCCUCUUCACCUGAGCACAGUGUGAGGACAGCCCGUGUCAUGGUCAACACCACUGGGAGCCCAGAGGAGAUGAGCCAGAUUCACUGUUUAAUGCCAAAUUCCUCCUUAGGUCUGAGAAGGAGUCAAAUAGGAUUUAUCCAUUGACCAAGAAGGGAAGAGACUGAGCACCGUGGUGGUAACCCAGGGAGGGAGCAGAUGCUAGUGGAUAUCCCAGGUGGGUUUCUUUGAAGUGUGACCUCGUGUCAAAAGGCCUUUCUAAACUUAUUUGGGUAUAUAAAGCACUAAGGAAAAGUUAAGACCUCUGAGCUAGAAAACUUCACUUUCCACAUUAAGGUCAGCGGCAUAUGCGGGAAGAGAUGCAAGCCCUCCAGUCCUGGGCAGUCUGUUAUCACAGGGCAGAUGAACUAAAAGAGAGAGCCAGAAAGGCAUAGGAAAAGCAAAAGCUGUGCAUAAAGUCAGCCAAUGAAAACAAAUGACUCAUAAG